CCUACGGGAGGCAGCAGUGGGGAAUAUUGGACAAUGGGCGAAAGCCUGAUCCAGCAAUGCCGCGUGAGUGAUGAAGGCCUUAGGGUUGUAAAGCUCUUUUACCAGGGAUGAUAAUGACAGUACCUGGAGAAUAAGCUCCGGCUAACUCCGUGCCAGCAGCCGCGGUAAUACGGAGGGAGCUAGCGUUGUUCGGAAUUACUGGGCGUAAAGCGUACGUAGGCGGUUAUUCAAGUCAGAGGUGAAAGCCUGGAGCUCAACUCCAGAACUGCCUUUGAAACUAGAUAGCUAGAAUCUUGGAGAGGUGAGUGGAAUUCCGAGUGUAGAGGUGAAAUUCGUAGAUAUUCGGAAGAACACCAGUGGCGAAGGCGACUCACUGGACAAGUAUUGACGCUGAGGUACGAAAGCGUGGGGAGCAAACAGGAUUAGAUACCCUGGUAGUCCACGCCGUAAACGAUGAUAACUAGCUGUUCGGGCUCUACGAGCUUGAGUGGCGCNGCUACGACAUAAGUUAUCCGUCCGUCGGGAGGUACGGUCGGCGAAGAAUUAAACUAACAAUAGAAGUUAGUACGGACGUGAGACGUACGACCGAACGGACGACGACGAGGGAGGAGG
rnacentral:rRNA from 1 species